rnacentral:lncRNA from 1 species
UGUCUUCAUCAAGAAGUACAUUGCUCGGCUUUAAAUCACAAUGAACAAUGGACGUUUCACAAUGGUUGUGGAGAUAAUCUAACGCAGAAGCAACAUCAAUGGCUAUGUUCAAUCUUUGCAUAAAAUUCAAUCUCAUACUUGGAGAUUGCUCCUCAUCUCUAGGAUGCAACCACGAGUCAAGACUUCCAUUUGGCAUGAACUCGAAGACUAGACUUUUGAAGUCUCUACCAUGAUUAUCAAUGCUCGAGCAUGCAGUUAUGAUCUUGAGAAGAUUUCGGUGCCUGACACUUCUUAAAGCUUUGCAUUCAUCAUUGAAACUCUUGGACGCUCCUUCUUGUUGAAGGUUUAAUACCUUAAUAGCAACUAUCGUUCCAUCGCUAGGAAUUACCCCUUUAUAAACAGAACCAAAACUUCCCGAACCAAUCAAAUUAUCCACAGAGAAACCGUUAGUCGAUUCAACAAGUUGUGAGUAGGAAACACCUGAUUUCCAAUCCUUAUAAGAACGUGAAGUUACAAGUCCAUCUCUUGACUUUUUCAGCAUUGAACGAGCACCGAAGAAGCAUGAUAGAGCAAUUAUGAAUGCAAGUGCGCAAGAUAUAGGGAUGACUACUUUUGAGGAAAGUCCUCGAGAUGAAUGGUGUUUAUUUUUGGGGCAUGCAGGUAGAUGUAAUUGUGGGAUGCCACCACAGAGCCUAUGAUUUCCAAGAACUGAGACACCACUGACAUUUGAAAAAAUUCCUUCUUUAGGCAACUCACCUUCAAAAUCAUUAUACGAAAGAUUGAGAUACUCAAGUGCUCUAAGCUUACCUAUGAAUACAGGAAUCUGCUCGGAUAAGUUAUUGCUUGAAAUGUCAAGUUUUUCCAAGCCCCUUAAAUCUUUAAGAGACUGCGGAAUUGUUCCUUCAAAUUUGUUGUUGUCCAAGUACAAGCCCUCCAAACUAGUACAACUGCCAAUGGUGCUGGGGAUUUCACCUGUUAACUUGUUGUUUGAUACAUCUAGCAUUGUGAGAUGCACCAAAUCACCCACAUUACUUGGCAAGGAACCAGUCAAAUAAUUUUCAGACAGGUCCAAACUAAUUGAAAGGUUUGAAAGCUCUAUAAGCUUUUGAGGUAUGUUGCCCGUUAGAUUGUUAUUAUAGAGAUAAAGUAGUAACAGGUUCUGGCAGUUUCCAAGACUUGGAGGUAUACUUCCCUCAAAACUGUUUCCAUCCAUGUAGAGCUCUAUCAAUGAAGUUAUAUUACCAAGGGAAGAUGGAAUUGGCCCAGAAAUUUUGUUAGCAUGCAAAUCUAGUAUCUCCAUCUUCUCGAGCUUCCCAAUUUCUUCAGGGACAACACCCGCCAGAUAGUUAUGAGACACAUCUAGAUCGAUGAGGUUUAUAAGAUUUCCAAUGUCGUUUGGGAGGCUUCCAUGUAACAAAUUAAACCCUAGAUAAAGAACUUGUAGUUGGGUUGAAAGGUUGGCUAUGGAUCUCGGGAUUUCUCCCCCAAAACGAUUAUAGCUAAGACCCAAUUCUUGAAGACUGGUACAAUUAGUCAAGAAAUUGGGAAAACUCAAAUCACCAAGUUUUCCAUUUCCCAGUCGAUUGUCUGCAAAGUUUAGCCAAAUUAAGCUUUGCAAGCUUCCAAGACUUUCUCCAGGGAUUGUCCCCGUGAAGUCAUUUGAACCAAAAUCAAUCACCUGAAGUCUAGAAGCAUUUGAAAUUGAUACAGGAAUAUUUCCUGUGAAAUUGUUCAUACCACAUAAAAAUACUACGAGAUUAGGAAGCAAGAUGCCGAGAUUUGGUGGUAGCUCUCCAUGUACUUGGUUUUUGGCAACACCGAACUUGUAUAUGGAAGAAAUAUUAUAAAUUGAAGAAGGGAGCAUACCAGACAAAUUAUUCUGCCCAACUGCGAAUAUCUUCAAGGUUGUUAUAUGCCCGAGCUCAUUUGGUAUGCUUCCUUGAAAAUUGUUGAGGCUAAGUCUAAGACUCCUCAAAGAAGAAAAGUUUCCUAUCCAAUCUGGGAUGGUUCCACUAAGAUUAUUAGCAGUAAGAUGUAGAACAGUUAAACUCAACCACGAACUGAGUUGGUGUGGAAUCGACCCAAUAAUCUUAUUGGAAACAAGAUCGAAAACUCUUAGUUGUGUACAGUGGGACAUAUUAGUCGGAAUUUUUCCGCCUAAAGAAUUGAAAGACAGGUUGAGACUUUCCAGGGUACGUAGACGACCCAGUUCUUGGGGAAUUUCACCAUGAAAUUUGUUAAUUCCCAAGCUUAUUUCAACUAGAAGAGUAAGAUUCCCAAUGGAAGGUGGAAUGGAGCCUACCAAUUGUUUAUCUUCCAGGUCCAGAAUCAAGACUCUUUGGGUGGCACGGUGGCAUGUAAUGCCUACCCAAUUGCAGAAGUGGAUGGAAUGAUUCCACGAGCUCAUGACACUGAGGGGAUCUUCGGUUAUUCUUUUCUUGAAGUCUAGCAAAGCCAAGCGAUCAGAUUUGUUUCCAAGCAGGGUAGGGUCGAGAAAUGCAGCAGAUUCUGGACAUGUGCUUAUCAUGCACAAAAGUAAGAGAAUGAAGCCAUGUAGGAAUUUCAACAAAACCAGAUUACGAAUGGUACGUGAAUGCUCCAUCAUUGUUCAAAGACAAAUGGAAAACCAGAAAACCAAAGUUUAUUUUGCACAAAAGCACGAAAGAGAAGAUAAUUGAUUUUUUUUCCUUAGUGUGAUACUUGCUAGCAGAUAAUUCAUUUCUUAGUCUUUGCUAUCCAUGAUAACAUCCACUAAGACAUUAUGUUCUAUCAUUUCAUUUCAUCAGUUUGAGGAGAAUUUUGAAAUUGCACCCAAACGGUGACUUGGAGUUGGUGGAAGACUCCCAACUCUGAGUUCAAUCUUUUGCAGCAAACAAUGUUUGACCUCUUGAUGGCCUCUCCUAGAGUUUAACACUUGUCCAUUACUAACUCCACUCUUAAACGUUGUUAACUCACUUAAAGCCAUUCUUCAUUCCAUUUAAUCACAUCAAAACCUCAACUCAGUUUUGGCGGUAAGUGAUGUGAAUUCCGGCCAUAAAUUUGACAGACUGCCAACAUUCAUGAGGUGGUUUUGGCGGGCAUCAGUAACCACGUUGGAAGAGGAAAGUGAGAGAAUUUGCAGACUUUUUCAUCAUAAUUACUGUUUUUUCAUUUUAUUUUAUUUUAUUUCAGUGGGCCAUUUCUUUUAUGGAUUACGUACCUAAAAUCCCUUAGCGUGUUAGUGUCAUUCUAAAUUGGUCUCAACUUUUUUAAACAUUUCAAACAAUUACUCAACCUACUGAAAAUGUCACAUCCGUUAAGCCCUAGUUAAAACUAUGUUAAAUUAUCUAGGAGUUACUUUGUCUCCAAAAUCAAUAGAAGGUCAUAAAAGCAUAGCAUCCACCAGCGAACGACCACCACCCGCCCCAUCAUGCCAUCACCUCCAAACCUAACACAAAACCACUAACUCCACCCUACAACUCUAACCGCCAACAUCAAGAAGAAGGUCGUGGAGGUUGCUAAAAUGGUAUGAACUGUCAUGAUGCGGCCACUACCAUCUUUACCACCCGCAAAGAAGAACUGAAAGCUUUACGAGCCAAUAAUCGGAGUAUGAGGAAAUCAAAUGAGCAGAAACAAACUCCUUGAAACUUUAUAUGACUUCUUAAUCCUCUUCUUUGUUAGAAAAUUGUCCUCCUAAUAUAGUUUCAAUUUGGGUCCAUUUUCGAUUCAAUUCAAUAUUUUUUUGUUCAUUGGAUUCCAUAUUUACAUAAUCUAUAUUUGAAAUUCAAAUUUUGAGGCAACCAAUAUUAAUGUUGACCAUGAUAUACCCAAUUGGUGGAUUUUGAACAUAAUAUAUGUUUGAAAAAUUAACUAUGGCUUAACGGAUGUGACAUUUUUUAUAAGUUGGAUACUUAUUUGGAAUGUUUAAAAAGGUUGAGACCAAUUUGGAAUGACACUAAAAAAUUAAGGGGUUCUAGUCAAUCCUUCUUUUACUUAUUUUCAUUUCCUUUUAACAUUUCUAUACAAAUUCAAGUGGAAAGUACACGUGGGUAGCAAAUCGUUGCAGACUGGCUUUCUUCUUCUUCUUUUUUUAGAGAAACCUCGAUGGUACGAGGAAAUUUUUAUAGAAUCAGAAAAAAGAAGUUAGACAUAGUCAUGAGAACAUAAACCUCACAUAUCACUACAAGAAGAAAUGUAAAAAAAAAAAAUACAAGAAAAAACGGGGGCAUAAAUCUGAGUCUUCUUAAGAAAACAAAUAAAAAUACAAGAAAAUGGAGGGACGUUAAGCCUAAAUCCUUCUAAAGAAAAAUCUAGAAGGUUUAAACAUGCAAAACAAGUUGCAAAUCACCAAAAGCAAUAGGAUAAAAAAAAAAAAAAACAAAAACAAACAUCAUGCAGGAGGAUAAACCUAUAAAUCGGAAUGCACAUUAUGUUGAUUUGAGUCUUAAUUGAAAAUAUUCUUGGAAUCCUAUUUUAGGUAGGAUUAGUAGUUUUAGCUCUCGCGUUGCGGCAAGAAUGUUAAAUGAAUUACAAAUAUUGUAUACAAGUAUCAAAAUAAUGGCCUUAAUGUGUUGUAAGCAUUGUGCGUAGAUAGGUAGGAACUAUCUACAUACAACAUCAAUGUAAAAAAUCUAAGGACAAACACAGUCAUGACUCAUGAUUGAGACUAUAUCUUAUGAACAUAAAGAAAGAGCAACAUCUAAGAAAUUUAAUUUCUUAGUCAAUAUUUGUUCUCUUUAUAUAAGAAGAGAUAUCAUGCAAUAAAUAAGCUUCACUAAAAAUAAAUAAAUAAAUAAAAUAAAUAAAUAAAAAGAGUGUCAACGAAGAUAUUAGACCCUAAUCUUAAAAGGGUCUCCUCCACCACUCAAAAUCUCCACACCAAAACAGAAAAUUCCAGUGCUUUCAAACAACCAACAAAAAUAAUCUACCAACAGAUAACAUUAAUUUUUUGCAACACAAUCUUUUAUAUCUUUCAAGUAUAAUAUUUCUUAUAAUAUAUAUACAAGCACAUAAUUUGACAUUACAACAUAAUCUUGCAUGUGUAAACUUAGUUUUCAUAUAGGAGAAAUUAGGUUCACAUCCUUCUUUUUGUUACUCCAUUGAUUAAAAUCCUAUUCAUUUUUAAUUUUUUAUCAAGAUACUUGGGUAUUAAUAACAUAAUUAAUUAUUUGAAUAAUAAAAUAUUUUUUAUUUUUAAAUAUAUUCCUUUAGUGUUAAAAAUGUUACAAUUAGUAUAUUUAUAUUUAUGGCUAAAUUUUUUAUCAUAUAUUUUUAUUUUUAGUUUGUACCUAUUUUUAAUUUGUAAAUAUUUUUUAAUUUGUACCAAUUUUCUUUUCAUUUUUAAUUUGUACCCAUAUAUUAGUUUCUUUUUGUGCCCAUAUUUUUUAAAGUUUUAUUUGUGUUUGUACCCAUGUGUAUAUCGUCACGUGACAUUAUAUAUUUAAUCAAUGAUAGAAAAAUUACAUAUGGUAUAUUUAUGUUUUUAUGCCUAAACUUUGUAUCAUAUAUUUAUAUUUUUAGUUUGUACCCACUUUUAAUUUGCAACAUUUUUUUUUUAAAUUUGUAGUAUUUUCUUUUUAGUUUUAUUUUGUACCCAUGUAUUAAUUUCUUUUAGGGCCUAUAUUUUUUAAAAUUCAUUUGUACUCAUAAUUUUUUAAUCUUUUAUAUGUACCCUGAUUUAUUUAUAAUGUACCAAUUCUUCUUUAUUAAUGUACAUAUGUGAAAUGUACCAAUUUUUUUAACACUAUGGAUACAUUCUUUUGCCAUUUAUUAUUUCUUAUUUUUACAUAGUUUUUAUCCAUUUAUUCAAUCAAAAUGUUUGAAUUCUUUUAUUGUAACCGUUUCUAAUAGUAUUAUAAUGAGGGAUUUUAAAUUUAUAGGAUUAUAAAUCUCAUAAAAUAUCAAACAAUUAAUGUCAAAACUAUAAAAAUAUAAAUAUUAAUAGCAAUAUAAUGAGGUGUACAAAGUCAAGGGACUUUGAUCAAACUUUGAAUAUCAUUAAGGUUUUAAUCAAAGAAUGUUAAGGAUUGGGAAUCGCAUCCAAAGUAUCCCUUGCAUAUAUAUACAAAUAUAUAUAACCACAUAAGCAUAGGCUUAGGAGCAAAAAGGAAGGGGGGUUGUAGGGUAAUUUGAUUUCAUCGGUUGCUUUGGGUACCCUUAAGACAAUGCAAGCAUUCAUAAAUGUUUGAACAUGAUUAUCAUUUUCUCAUACUGCGUUUAUAUGGUUAUUUCUAGUCAGGGUUUGCAAAGUUAACAACGAUCGAGAGAUGAGUUUAAACAACAUCAGCAAAUACAAAAGGGCAUUGUAAGUGUUUAGUCCAGUUGAAAUCAUGUUACCUUUGGAGUAAAUUCAUAACAAUUUCGAUUUGUUUGGAUCGCAUAAGAUUAUUAAAAGCUAAAAACAACAAGCCCUAAAUGCUACGAGUAUUGGAUGGUCUAGAUUAAUGGGACCACAAUAAUAACUAAUUCAAACCAAUCUAGACCAUACAAUGCUUGUAGCAUUUAAAGCUACAUAGCAUAAAAGAAUUUUCUCUUUUAAUACCCAUAAUAAGUACAAAAAUUUAAUGAAAAUUGUAUCUUAAAGGGUGAUUUUGUAUAGAAUCAAUAAAAAGUUACAAUAUUUAAGUUAAUUAUAAAUAGGUUAAUCGUGUAUUGUGAUACUUAAAUGCAUUUAAAAUAAGCAAAAAAAUUACAAAAUCUUCCAUUACAACUGGCACUCACUUCAAUUGGCACCACUUUGUCCUAUUUUUUUUUUUUUUAUAUUUUAGAAUAGGUCAAUACAGAUUUAGACACUGCAAGGAAGUUUUUGUUUCCUGAUUCUGUUUUUUUACAUUUGGAUUCUGACUCUGCAUUGCAAUGUCUGCUUCCUAGUUUCAUUUGUUCAUCACUCACACACCUCAUAUGCUUCAGACCUCAUGCGACUCAUGAUUUUUACAUCUGGAUUACAUUGCAAUGCAUUGUCCAUUCAUGGUUUUGAAUUGCAGACCAUAGAAUUGCUGCUCUCUCAUCUCACUGUCCCUCUCUUCGCAAACUCAUCUAUUUAACUAGACCAGCUCUCCUCUCAGUGAUGGCUUGCACGAAAAAUUAAUCUUUUGUAGCAUAUUUAUUCACCGAAUCAGGGCUUCUAUAUGUUUCCUAUGUCUUGGUAGUCUAGCCAACUCUGCCUUUGUCCAAUAACCAUUUUUGAUGUUUAAGGAAAAAAUAACAGAAGUAGACUUUUUUAUAGUUUCUUUUACAUAGGCAUUAUUGGACCAAACUCAAGAGACCGUUGAGCUGGAACAGAGAAUUGCUAAGAUGACUCUCUUAUUGAGAACCUACCCUUGAGUUGAGCCGACUCCUCCGUGUAAAUAAGACGUUUUCUAUGUUUUUUUAUACAUUGCCGUUUUUACAUUUUACUUGUAUUCCUUAUUGUAUUUCUUUCUAUUCAUUAUAAAUUGGAAUUGAUUUUUUUCUUUAGUGUGAUAUUUGCUAGCAGAUAAUUGAUUUCUUAGUCUUUGCUAUCCAUGAUAACAUCCACUAAAACAUUAUGUUCUAUCAUUUCAUUAUAAAUUGUAAUUAAUUUUUUCCUUAGUGUGAUACUUACUAGAAGAUAAUUGAUUUCUUUGUCUUUGCUAUCCUGAUAACAUCCGCUAAAACAUUAUGUUCUAUCAUUUCAUUUCAUCAAUUGGACGAGAAUUUUGAAAAACCACCCAAAAGGUGACUUGGAGUUAGUGGAAGACUCCCACCUCAGAGUUCAAAUCUUUUUUUACGAUAAUUUUGAAAUUGCACCAAAAUGGUGACUUGAAGUUAGUGGAAGACUCCCAACUCUGAGUUCAAAUCUUUUGCAACCAAGCAGUGUCUGACCUCUUUACGGCCUCUCUUAGAGUAUGUCACUUGUCCAUUACUAACUCCACUCUUAAAUGUUGUUAAUUCACUUAAAGCCCUUCUUCAUUCCAUUUAAUCGCAUCAAAACAUCAAAACAAGUUGCAAAGCACUAAAAGCAAUAGGUUAGGGAAAAAAAAAACAAACAUCAUGCAGAGGACAAACUUAUAAAUCAGAAUGCACAUUAUGUUGAUUUGAGUCUUAAUUGUAAAUAUUCUUGGAGUCUUAUUUUAGGUAGGACUAGUAGUUUAAGUCCACGCGUUGCCGCGGGAAUAUUAAAUGAAUUAUAAUUGUUGUAUAUAAGUAUUAAAAUAACGGAUUAAAUGUGUAGUAAGCAUUGUCCGUAGAUAGAGUAGGAACUAUUUACAUAAAACAUCAAUGUAAAAAACCAAGGACAAAUACUGUCAUGAUUGAGACUAUAUCUUAUGAACAUAAAGAAAGAGUAACAUCUAAGAAAUCAAAAAAUUUCUACUCAACAUUGUUCUCUUUCUAUAAGAAGAGAUAUCAUGCAAUAUAUAUACAACCUUCACUAUAAGCCUUGAAAAAUAGCCAAUCUCCAAAAUAUUUAUAAAAAAAAAAACGACAAUUUAUACUUUUAUAGUGAAGGCAAUUUUCAUAACGUCCAUAAUCUUAAUGGAAAAAAGAUCGAAACAUCUUAGUUGUGUACAGUGGGACAUAUUAAUUGGAAUUUUCCCGCCUAAAGAAUUGAAAGACAAGUUUAGACUUUUCAGGGUACGUAGCCGACCCAGUUCUUGAGGAAUUUCCCAUGAAACUUGUUGAUUCCCAAGCUUAUUUCAAUUAGACAAGUAAAUUCCCAAGCUUAUUUCAAUUAGACAAGUAGGAUUUCCAAUGGAAGGUGGAAUGGAGCCUACCAAUUGUUUAUCUUCCAGGUCCAGAAUCAAGACUCUCUGGGUGGCACGGUGGCAUAUAAUACCUACCCAACUGCAUAAGUGGACGGAAUGAUUCCACGAGCUCAUGACACUGAGAGGAUCUUCAGUUAUUCUUUUUUUGAAGUCUAGCAAAGCCAAGUGAUCAGAUUCGUUUCCAAGCUGGGAAAUGCUGCAGAUUCCGGACAUGUGCUCAUCAUGCAUAAGACUAGGAGAAUGAAGCCACGCAGGAAUUUCAACAAAACCAGAUUAUGAAUAGUACGUGAAUGCUUCAUCAUUGUUCAAAGACAAAUGGAAAACCAGAAAACCAAAGUUUAAUUUGCAGAAAAGCACAAAAGAGAAGAAAUCCUAUCACAUAUAAGAAAAAACACUUGAGAUUGGAUGGCCACAGAAAUUAAAAUAGACCAACUUAGUAGUUAGUCCACAGCUUAGAAGGAACAGAAGAGGCAGACGAACUUAGUCCACAGCUUAGAAGGAAUGGAAGAGCCAGACCAAUUAGUCCACAGCUUCAGUUCGGUUGAGCCACCUAACAGUCUGAUCCUUGUCAUUCCCCUAGAAAGUUCUCGAUCAAAGUUAGCAUAGAACUAGGUUUUACACGAGAGAACGACUGGCGAUAGGACAUAUUUUCUCUACUGCUUUUAUAUAUUUAUUUCUAGUCAGGGUUUGCAAAGUUAACAACGAUCGAGAUAGAUGAGUUUAACUGGCAUCAGUAAAUACAAAAGGUCAUUGUAAGUGUUUUGUCCAGUUGAAAUCAUGUUAGAUUUGGAGUAAAUUCAGAGCAAUUUCAAUUUGUUUGGAUUGCAAAAGAUUAUCAAAACACACCCAUGCUAUUGUAAACAAGGUGGCCCCUUGAAUUAUCGAUCUCACACAAUCUCUAAAGGAGUGUACCAUGUCCGAUUGCACUGCCAUUUGAACUCGUGGCCAAAUGUACUAAGUAAUUUAUCGGCAGCAACCGGAAAUAGUAAAACAAGUUUACCAUUUUAACCACAAAUCGUUUGUAAAUAUUAGCUAAAAAAUGACAGGGCUUGCAACAACAGUAACUCUACGGUUUGAAUGAACAAGUUCAGAAUAAUGUUAAACGAGUCUUGCACAAGCGAGGUCUCGAACAGAAUUGCCUUCCGUUUGCUUUAACCGCUGCCGCUACUCCAGCAGUGACUCCAGCACAAAGAACAGAAGACAUAUACUGUUGGGCAUUACGACCUGCUGCAAUAGGAUUCAAAAUUUCUCAGGUCUUCGUGAAUAUUGAAUAGAACUCGCACCUGAGAACGAAGUUCCAUGUACUAAGAUUUCAGGCAAAACCAAAAUAAUAGUAAUACCUUGCUGAAGUGUGACGGAUGUCAGUGUCAACCUUCCGAUUAGCAAAGCUGAUGCCACCGGUAGAUACUGCAAUGUUUGUUCUCACACUUAAAACUUGACUAUAGAUUCGAUGAAGCCAUUUUAAAAGUGGCACAAGUUACCUUCAUUCGCGGCCAACUAAUGACGAUUACAUGCCAAGCCGGCCAAUCAAACAUCAAGUUUGCUAGAAUUGAAUUUUACUUCCCCUUUCAUUACUAAAAGCAUAUCCAUUAAAUAUCGCUCAUAUUUGCUAAAGCAGGCAUGAUUUCUUACUAAAUUUACUUUCAAGAGAUGCAAUUGAACCAUCAGGGUACUCCCCAAACCAUCAUACACUAAAAUUUUGAGGUUCCGAGAAGAUGAACCAAGAUUUUAUAAUCCUACCCGGGAUCUGUAUAACUGAUAACAAAGGGAUAUAUAAAACCAGAUAAGGAAUUCAGGCACUUCAAUUUCUUUGAAAGAUUCAUUGUACUUGCAGAAAAAGAUUCAGCCCGGGAUGGUGAAAUAUCCCUUCUAACUGUAUAGCGGCCACUGAUAAGAUCCAUAGCAUCCAGAACAAAUUUUAAACUGAUUUUAAGCAGGUAUAUAUAAAUGGAAGUUACUUGCUUUCAUGCAGAUGAGCAAUACUCUAUAUUUGCGAAAGAGAGGCAGAUUACCUGCCGAAUGCCAUCCUGAAAGUUAUUCAAAAAAUAUCUUGAAAGAGCACUCAUCCCGUCUUUAAUUAUUCCUCCAAAUGUCUGCUUCCCAUAUCUGCGGUAAUAUGGAUCCAGAAUAUGAUUCGAAAAAAAAGGAUAUAUAUAUAUUUUGUCCAUGAUUCAAGUCAUACUAUACGGUUGAAUUUACCUAACCAGGUCCCCUUUCAGGGCAUACGUCCCUGAAUACUCGAGGCUUAUCUCGUCACCUUGCACCGCCCACACUAAAGCAACAAAAUUGAGAAUAAGCACAACAAUUUAUUAUAGACAUCGUUUGAUCAUUUAUGAAAGAUAGGAUACAUGACACGAAGAAUUCCAUACUCUCUAAAUGUUUGAUAGUCUUGAGCAAACAUAGAAAUGCUUUCAAAAGAAUCCAGCACUCCAGUCCUCUGCAACUGUGCAUCUAGAGACAUCUGGGCCAAGUAACUCUACAAAAUAAAGAAGCAGUAAACAAUUUAAUGUCAAACACACUAAGGUAAUUUUCUUAGAAACCUGAGUAACAUUUGUUCUAUCAAGGCAAUCAAUGCAGUUUGAUCUGACAAUCCCUUUCUGCUCCUCCGGUGUAUUGCCUUUCGCAUCUACGAGGACGUAUCUGCUCAGCUGGAACAGUUUUGAUUAAAAACAGUAUUCAUAUAGCCAGCAUACCUGGAUUUUGGCAUACUUAUUCAAUCAGAUAUUACGCUUUCAUUACCCUAGCUUUUCAAAUUGCUCUGAGAUCUCCUCAUAUAGAACCUUUAGGUUUUCAAAGUUUGAGUUACCACAUACAUGAUGAAAGUCAAAUGAAACAUAUCUGCUACAAAAACAUAAGCAGUAAGUUGAGAACAAAAUCUCAUUUCUGACAUUGUUCCCAAUGCCAACCAAUAGAACUGACUUCAUUAUAAGCAACCUUGAAAACAAAAAACAAAUCAACUUGAAGUCGGAAAAUGAUUCAGUUGGGAGCCAACAUAGUUGCAUAUAUAAGUAUGCAAAUUGUCACCUCACGUUUGGUAGAUUUUGCAUUUCAGCAGAAAAUGCCGUGCUUAGUUGACCUUCAUCGUCAUGCUACAAAUAACAAUAAAAAAUGUCGUACCCAGUGCACAAGGCUCCCGCUUUACGCAGGGUCUGGGAGAGGUAAAUGUCGGCUAGCCUUACCCCCAUUUAUGAAGAGGCUGCUCCCAAGUCUCGAACCCGAGACCUACCGCUUAUGGGCGAAGGCACUUGCCAUCGCACCAAGUGCGACCUCUAUGCUACAAAUAACAAUAAACGGAAAAAUUCUAACAACUGAAAUUUAUGAAACAACAUAUACUUUGCAUACAGUUAAAAAAACAGUAAAAUUUGUGUAGCACAAGCAGUCAGCUGGGAAGAAUUAUAGACAUCAUUGCUUAUUUAGCAAAUCCCAGAGCCACAAAAAGGUGAGCGUGUCGUACAAACACAAUUUGAAGGAAAAAAAUUGCAAACUUUUCAGCUUAACGUAAAGGUGGAUCAGUGUGCAAGGAUUGUUAAAUUCAAAGUAAAAUGUAAAAGAAAAGAAACCCAUACUUUAUCAGUUAGGUCUACUGCCAUUGUCUCUCCAUACCUUUGCAAAAGAUCAAAAAAAUGGCGCUCCACAACAUUUGACUGUAAGUGGAUGGGAAAAUUCACAACACAACUCAAACAAGGGAACUGUACCAUCAAGCCAAGAAAAGAGUAAAAAGGAAUGGAUUUGCACCUCUGGCAACAAAUUACCGUCUGCUCAUGAGUAAUAAUUCUAAGUUGUGGUUUAUAGCUCAAGUCAACAAUUUGCUCCCAAAGAAGCAGAAUUGAACCUCGAAUCUGGAAAACAUAUCAAAAAUAUUAUGGAGGGUUUUAUUCAGAAAAAUGGAAUUGAACCACGAAUCUGGAAAACAUAUCAAAAAUAUUAUGGAGGGUUUUAUUCAGAAAAAAGGAAUAAAUAAAUAAAUCUUCUCGUAUUAGAUUAUGACAAAACUUCCAAUCUAUUAUCAGUCUUAAGGGCUAAUAAUGAAACAGUGUCUGCAUAUUUAGAAAGUAUAGCAUUGGAAAAGUUUUCUAAAUGUAUAAAAGUUGGCAAAACCAAUCUAUCCUUGCUAAACUGUACAAAAGUUUCAUCUAUGUGAGGGGCAGUCCAUCAACCUCAGAAAAAUAAAGACAAAGUUCUACAAUUAUGAUAUUUCUCACAUCAACAAGGAGCGCAGAACGUGAAGAAAGUUGAGGUUCCAUCUUAAAACCAAUUGGCAAUAUGGGGAUUAACCCAAUUUACUUAUAAGCUCAUGCAAGGUCUCUCCUCCCAUCAAUAUGCGAUUCAUUCUCAACAGAAUAUACUUUUCUCAAAUGUUUAAUCCUCGGCCAACUUAGUUGAUCACGUGUACAAUGACACCAUGAUAUAAGCUAAUGUCCUAUUUAGGCAAAGAAACAUAAUAGUAACUAAAAAUAUUCCGAUACAAUAUAACCUCAGCACACAUUUCUUUUCUGAACCUUCAUAUGAGAAUUACCUGCAAUAACGAGGACUGGAAACCUUCAAUCUCCACCAACCGCUCAGUUUCAAUAAAAUUAGCAACAUCUCCAUGAAGGUUGGCUCCUCUUCUCCACAUUCUUGUCCUUACGCGACCACAUUACAGUGUUUCAUGUUUAAGUCCUUCAAAACAUGCAGAUACAGACACAAAAGUGAUUACAAGAAUCAAUCAUCUCUAUAAGAUUGUACCUAGAUGCCAGGUACACCUCCUUGAGACUAUCGUAAGUGUGGCAGAUAAGCCCUUUAGCUUUUGCUGUGCAGUCUGGAAGCUUAAAUGUAGGUUAAGGAACACCAUAACAUAUUACUCACGUAAACUCUGAAUCUCAAUCUUAGAGAGAGGGAGAGAGAUAGAGAGAGAGAGAGAGAGAGAGAGAGAGAGAGGGAUAUACACAUAACAAAUCAGUAAAUUCAGGAUCUUUCCUUGUAUUAGAGGAAUAAUGAACCCAUCAAGCUGCCAUGAGAAAAUUAAUGAGCAUUAGCAAUAAAAUUUGUGCGCGAAGAACUGACGACUUUUGAAAAUGCUGUUCUUCCUUAAAGAUAUACAUUAAGUGGUGGCAAGCGAGAAAAUACUUCAAAUUGUUUAACUAAUUAUGACCUCAAAGAUGGAAAGUCUAACCUUAUACUCGAUAAGUUCGUCCAAAAGAUUUCUGUUCCAAACAAAUCGAGGGUCAGCCUGGAAACACAAAUAAUGUUAAAAACUACCAAGCAAUUACUAUUCAUAGAUCGUAAUGUGUAAUCAUUUGAUAGGAGCUAAAAUGGCAUUAUGAGAAAAUACUGAUAAACAUCCAUAUGAUAUGGUGUGUCAGUUGACUCGAUACUCACGCUGUCUCGUCUUCUAGUGUUGACAAAAAAUCCUUUGGAUAAAGGGGAAGGGAGAAUCACUUGACAACCAAAAAAUUGCACAAAGUAUGGCAUGUCUUCAAGGAUAUGAACUGAGAAGGCAUCUUUGUUGAGCUGAAACUUUCACCUUGAGAACGAAAGAUAAGUAUAGUGCACAAAAACACAAAAGUAGGCAAAUCCUUAGGGCGGUUUUCCUUUCUUUCCCUAUUAACCCUCUGACUUGGAAAGAGUUGAGGAUGCCUAGUAAGCUAAACACGUGGGCAAUAUAUAUGCUUAUAUGAAUCACUUUCAAGAACUAAUCAGGUCCCGAUAAACCCAAUAUUCCAAAUUUCCAACUAACCUGCUUCCAUAUUGGUUUGGCCAUCCAUCCUUCCACUAACUUACAUCUUCUUUGAAAGCUAGUGGAAAGGAUCAAUUAUAUAUGAUUAGAUAAACAAACACAACACUUUACCGAAUAGAUACAUAAAUUGACAUAAUAAGAUUUUGAACAGUAAUCACACAACAACGAUGAAAACAGUGGAAUGUAAUUAAACGGCACCCUAACGGUUAAAAAUUUAAACUUCGGCUGAGUGCUAGGUAUAAGAAUUUACUUUAGUGUUAUAUCAGUCUCGUACGAGAAGUACAGCCCCGGAGUUGAUUGGACUGUUUUCAACAGAGCCAUGAAGUACGCCUCAUCCUUUUUCUGCACAAACACAUCACAAAUUUAAAACAUCCCAAGUCACUCUCAAAUUCGCUAACGAAUCAAAAGAAUCAAAAGCCUUACCUCCACUUUGCAUUCUCAUUUUUGGUAAGUAAACAGACCACUAUUGAGUUCAAAAGUGGUUACCAUAUUAUUUUUCCACACGACAGUGUACAAUUAACUUGAGGUAGCAUUUUCGUUGCAUAAAAGACUAUUUUUUAAAACAAAUAUAUUCCACGUCUAAACAGAGGGGAUAAUCUACUUUAAGGGAGGGUGCUGAAAGAACUUUUUGAUACAACAAUAUUCUGCAUUUAAGUGGAUGGGAUAAUCUACUAAGGGAAGGGUGGAUGGGAUAAUCUACUAAGGGAAGGGUGGCUGGGUUAGGCCAUACAAUAAAUCAACUAUUUACUAAGCAUUAAACUUAAUAUAAAUAUAAUACGUCCUUGCUAUCAAUGUGCCUCAAACCUAAGACGUCUCACUAAAUUGGAACACUAAUUGGACUAACUUGAACUUGAUUUGAUCUCAAUAAGUUUCAGUCCCUGUCAUUAAACUAGCCACUAGUGUGUGCGAUGAUGGGACAAAAUAAUAAAGUGGGGGUGCAGUUCUAAGUGAUUGCUGGUAGCAGUGAAGUUGAAGGGUAGGCGACAAAUUUGCCUUGACUUUUAGUGAUGAGAAAAUUUGGUUGGCAUGAGAAAUGUUCAGCAAACAAGCUGCUGUGCUGCUUGAAUAGAGGAAAUUGGUUCAUGACGUGUUGCUGCAGGUGAUAAUCUUUUAGCAGAUGCUGGUGUUGCCAAUUGGCAUUUUUGACCAGCCAAUGGUGCUUGUGGUGGCUAUUACAAGGCAUGGGAGAUAAAAAAAAAUUGGUUCUUAUCGGGUAAGAAUUCUCUCCGGAUCUGUGUGCUUCAAAUUCUAAGGACCAAGUUAUCUUGGCCGUUCAAUUCAAAUCCUCCGGCCAGAUAUCUUUCUUUCCCUUCCUCUUCUUCUUGGAAAUCAAAGACGGAGAAGAACUCUUGGGUUUCACACACUGAGAAUUCAUUGACGCCUCCAACACCGACUCAGAGGAAACUACCACUACCGCUGCAACUCUGAACAAGCGGAUAAAGACUGGCCUGCUGGUGGCCGAUCUGAUCCCCGCCCACUUGUCGGUGGCAGCAGGAGUAAGAAGGCCUGAUGGUCACGAGGGCGAGGGUUACGAGGUCUACGCCGAUUGCGAGCAGAAAGGAUCCUUAGCCGAGGAUCCGGAGAAGAUCUUACCCAUUCUUAUCACCUAAACAACUCAACAAGUCUCUCAAUUUUUAUAUACAUGAAGUGGAAAAUCCAAGGAGGUUUGAACUUGUGUCACGACCAACAAUAAAACUAUUUGUUAAUUAUUCAUCCCCAUAAGUAAAUUCAUGUGCUUCCAUUUCUCGUACACGUCAGAAUGAUUCGUUGAAAUAUAACUCUAAGGUACUAUAAAUGUAUACACAUACGUACAUAUUGAAAUAUAUGUUUUUCAAUAAUCUCGUUCACACAAAUGAUUUGUGUUCUUAAGAAGCGAUGUGAAUAAUAUUAUUGUAAAUUCACACUAAUAUGACACUUCACAUUCCAUAGAGCUUGAUCGAAAUUUGAAUGGCUGGAACAUCUAACAAAGGUGUUCAUUUGUAGAGUAUAAGUCUUGAAUCGCGUGGUAAUAGGGUCUUUUCUUUUGACCACCCUAAUCUAGGGGGAAGGGAUCGGACUCGGGAGCAAAGGGUAGGACACACUACCCUGGCCAAAAUCAUUAUGCCAGGUAUAUUCAAUUGAGAUUUUGAAAGAUUUUAAAGAGUAUGCGUGGACCUACUGAGCAAUAUUUAGCAUGGAGUCCCCAAUUAAUACAUCCAUUUCACAACUUCAGUAAAAGAUAAAAAAGAAAUGCCAAGUUCGUCUACUGAAUAUUAAAUCACAUAUGAAAUUGGAUUAACAAAGCUCCAAGUACACUCAGGAGUUCAAACAUCCCGAGAUGCAUGCCACAUACAAAGAUUACGAGUGAGAAUUACUCAAGUCAUAAAUUGCUUGAUUACCUACAGAAUGAGAGUAGGUUGGAAACAUAUCGAACAAGAAAAUACAACAGUCAAACAUACAAGCAGUAACAGGCAAGUUUUCUAAGAAAAAUACCUGAUUGGAAUAUUGGCUAAGCCUCAAUGAAGAACAAAACAAAAUGAUCUCCAGAAGCUAAGUGAAACUUGACCUGCUAAUGAUCAUCUUUUCUUGAAACCAUACUUUUUCCAUUCAUAGAACAGAUCUGUUUUGGCACUUCCCAGAUUCACAAUUUUUGGGCACCCAUCUCUAUCUUUCUCCUGCUGAGUACACUCCUUGCAGUAAUAAGCAUAAGAAAUUCCAACCCCUCCACAAAUAACACACCUUCCAUGGAAAGAUCCAUAGUUGCACUCAUCGCAAACCAGAACAAGUGUGCAAGGACACACAUAAGAGUCACAAAUUACACACUUACCGUCGCACUUUUCACACAACCUUCCAAUAGCUAUUCCAGGUUGCUUCCAGCACAUAAUCAGGUCAGGAUGAUGCUUCGCCAUGUUCCUGCAACAACAGGGUAAAAUAAGCUUCUGUCCAGCGGAUCAAAUAGGGCCAAAUCACAGUAGAAACAGAAUCCAAAUCAUAAAAACUCGAAUCCCCAAAUUAACUAGAACCCUAGCCUAGCUGGCUGGCAGCUGACUUAGCUUUCGAGUGCCCCUCAGAUGCUCCUGCAUCAACUGAUAACGCUAAUGCACAUUCAAAAGUUUCGAGACUAACCCAAUUUGCAAAUCUGCAUACUUUUUAACAAUUUCAUGCCAAAUUGCAGGGUGUUUAUAUUCACAAAUCAUGCAACUUAUCGAUCAACUACGAAUAUUUGCAAACUCUUUUACAACUAUGCACAAAAAUAAUAAAAGUGGUUUACUUUUGUCACACCAAUUCAUCAAUGCAAAGCAGUUCAUUGCCCCAUAACUCUAAUACCAAAAAAACCCAAAAAAAUCCAAAUUUUUUUAAUUUCUAAUUACUCUUUCAACUUCUGGGUGCUUGCGAUGUUUGCCUAAUUCCCAUCACAGAAAACAAAUUGUGGGAAUUAAACAUGCUGUGUAAAUAGAUGAAACGAUUAAUAAAUUGAACAGAACAGGAACCCUAAAACAGGUAAUCGAAUGCGCAUUCGGCUAGAAAUUUAAAUUUUAGAUGGAAAUAAUCAAAAUACAGCAGCAGUUUUCUACAUAUCCGAAAACUAGAGAGGAAGAACGAGAAGCGAAAAGAGCAAAGCUUACCGAAGAUAGCUGGAGAGGACUCGGAUGAAGGGAUGCUACUGUAAGAGGGGAUUGGCGCUAUGGGGGGAGUUGGGCUCGGCGGACUGAGAGAGAAUCGGAUAGAUCAUAGGGGUAUUGUUUUUUAUUUUUUAUUUUAUUUUUUUAUUUUACGUACUUUUUAAGUUUCAAUUAAAAAUUGUCGUUUAGUAUUACGAUCUAAGAGAGCGUUUGUUUGCCCUCACUAAGUAGGAAUUGGACUGGACUGGACUAAAACUCAGAGCAAUACCAUGUUUGUUACGCAGGACAACCUUUAGUGGGACUAGCCGGGACUCGUCUCGAUAAAGGACGUCGCUAGAAGGUCUUAGCGAGUCCCAUCGAAAGGUAUCGGAUUACUAAGACGUUCGCUGCUUCACUCCAUCUACUUCUCUUCGUCCGCUUCUCUCCCUUGCCCUGCUUCAUCUGCUUCUCUCUCCCUUGCCCAUCUAUCUGCUUCUCUCUUUCCCCACUGCCUAAAUCUAAACACCAAAAUUUUUAAAAAAAAAAAAAAAACAAAAACAACAACAAUCGCCAUAUAAAAAUUCUUCCUUAUUCGCAAUAAUUCCCAGAAAUUUCCCAAAAGAAAAAAUUACUUUCCCAGAAAAUUCCCGAGAAAUGGAUAGAGAAAGGGAGAGAGUAGCUUUAGGGACGAUUUUGCAGGAAAAAUCGCUUUGAAGGAUAUUGUUUUGUUGGAAAAAAUGAGUGUUGGGGAACGGCACUAACGAGGAAGAAAAGAAUGAACUCCUAAGGAGAGGAGAGUGUUCCAGACACAACCACAAAGAAAAAGCUUGAAUAAAAAAUAAAAUAUUAUUGAGUUAAUAAUAAAAUAUUAUUAAAUGUGUAUUUAAUGAUAUAAAAUUAUAGUUGUUAACUAUUCUUUUUUUUUAGUCCGGCAUUUUACCAAACGUUUCAUUAAAUCAGUUCAGCUUAGUCUAGUCUAAGCCAAUCCAGCUUAGUCCCUAAAGCUAGUCCGGUGCAACAAACGCACUCUAAUAGUAUUCAUCAUCAGCAGUAAGUGGAGAUAUCUUAGGUUUGACCAUCGCUAAAGACGAAUUUAAACCACAUUAUUACUAGUCUAAUGCUAGAUUUAACCUACUUCUCGAUCGAUAAUAUCGUUUAUUUAAAAAAAAAAUUAUACAACAAAAUUUGUUUUUCUUAUUUAUUAAUUUUAUGUUGGGAAGGGGAAUGACUUGAUAUAAUAAUAUUAAAAUUACUCACGGAAAACAUAAAAGAAUGGAAUAAUGGGUUUUUGGAGUCAUACUAGCUUAUUCAUUUGCCUAUAAAAUCAAGUCAAGCAAAUGUUAGAGAGAACAUGACACAAUAUAGAAAUUCAUGUAAGCCAUAUCAAGGUUAGAGAGAAGAAAAAGAAAAUGAGAAUUAUUUUUAUACUCCUAUUAUUUGAAAUAAUGAAAGCCUAAAAACUAAAUCUUCAAUAUUAGUUUCUAGUUAAAUCUUGACCAUUCUUGUCUAUCUCUUUGAGUGUUUCAGCUUUGUUUUAGGAGCGCAAAACUUUGACAAAUAAUAGGCGUAACGUCGGGCUUAACUAUAUCCACAAGGCUUAUUCGCAUAACCCUUUUGCACAUGUAUGUGCGGGCGAAUAAAGUACGAAAGAUAACAUAUUUAUACCUGCCUUGAAGCAAAUCCUUCGUCACAACCAAAACCCACGUGCCACAAACAAAAAAAUAAAAAAAGAAUUCUCAACAAAACUUGUGUAGCACAUGCAAUCAUUUGAGAAGAAAUAUGAGACUGAAAUGUUCUAAACUGCUUAAGCAUUGAGUUUAUCAGAUUCUAAACAAGAUUGACAUAACCAAGACAAUUACAAAUAGCUCCACACAAAUAAGAGUUUGAAAGCUUCAAGUCAUACAAAUGAAAACUUCGUCCGUUUAAAACAGCAGCUAACAUAAAAGAGGCAAGGUUCAAAGCGAUGGUAGGAAAAGUACAGAAAAACAAGAAAAGAAAAACCACAAGCAGCAUAUAUUUGUCCUUCUUUAGCCUUCUUGAACUUUGAGGUACAAGUCUCUAAUUGCACUCAUUUUUCCGACAACCAUAUUCAGAAGCAUCCACUCCCUUGGUUAUACUACACAGCAGGAAAGUCCUAUCUGCAUCACAGCAAACAAGCAUUCCUCUACCUUUUUUGCUUUCACCACUCCGCGAUUGUUACGUCUAGGCAGCGCAGUUCUUUCGUAUCUGUCAUCGUUAACACUACCCUCAGCUUUGAGGUCGAGGAGCAAUGUAGGGUAAACAACGUCCAUGACAUGGUCGGGCAAAGCCAUGGCUGCGAAUUUGUAAAUGCUUAAACCUUCGAUGAACUUGUCAUCAGUAGGUGUUUCUCCUGUGAACAUUUCUAGCAAGAGUAUCCCGUAGCUGUAAACAUCUCCCAAUAUGGAAACUUGGCCUCCCAUGCUGUACUCUGUUGUGACAUACAUAUAGAUAAUAAGAUGUCACAUGCAAUUGACUAUUAAAAUUGAUAUCUUAUUUCAGAUUAAUGUUAAUUGUUUCUAGGAAAAAGAGUCAAUAGUAUAUCUUUAAUAUAUAUAAUUUAAUUAGUUAGUUUUUAGUAAUAAGUUAAUAAGAACCAAAAAAAGAAAUUAGAAUGAUGGAAUCUCAUACAUGGAGGAAUGUAACCUACAGAACCCUUUAGUUGCGAUGACAUUGUUUGACUGAGGGAAUGAUCAUUUGAUGCUUCCAAGAGGAACCUUGCUAAACCAAAAUCCCCAACAUGGGCUACCAUGUCUUCAUCAAGAAGUACAUUGAUCAACUUUAAAUCACAAUGAACAAUGGACGUUUCACAAUGGUUGUGGAGAUAAUCUAACGCAGAAGCAAAAUUAAUGGCUAUGUUCAAUCUUUACAUAAAAUUCAAUCUCUUACUUGGAGAUUGCUCCUCAUCUCUAGGAUGCAACCACGAGUCAAGACUUCCAUUUGGCAUGAACUCGAAGACUAGACUUUUGAAGUCUCUACCAUGAUUAUCAAUGCUUGAGCAUGCAGU